GAGGCACUACGGUGCUGAAGCAACAAAUGCCCUGCUUCCAGGAAAAGCCUCUAAGCAUCAGGUAACAUCAAAUCGUACCCCAAACCGACACAGGUGGUCAGGUAGAGAAUACCAAGGCGCUUGAGAGAACUCGGGUGAAGGAACUAGGCAAAAUGGUGCCGUAACUUCGGGAGAAGGCACGCUGACACGUAGGUGAAGUGAUUUACUCAUGGAGCUGAAGUCAGUCGAAGAUACCAGCUGGCUGCAACUGUUUAUUAAAAACACAGCACUGUGCAAACACGAAAGUGGACGUAUACGGUGUGACGCCUGCCCGGUGCCGGAAGGUUAAUUGAUGGGGUCAGCGCAAGCGAAGCUCCUGAUCGAAGCCCCGGUAAACGGCGGCCGUAACUAUAACGGUCCUAAGGUAGCGAAAUUCCUUGUCGGGUAAGUUCCGACCUGCACGAAUGGCGUAAUGAUGGCCAGGCUGUCUCCACCCGAGACUCAGUGAAAUUGAACUCGCUGUGAAGAUGCAGUGUACCCGCGGCAAGACGGAAAGACCCCGUGAACCUUUACUAUAGCUUGACACUGAACAUUGAGCCUUGAUGUGUAGGAUAGGUGGGAGGCUUUGAAGUGUGGACGCCAGUCUGCAUGGAGCCGACCUUGAAAUACCACCCUUUAAUGUUUGAUGUUCUAACGUGGACCCGUGAUCCGGGUUGCGGACAGUGUCUGGUGGGUAGUUUGACUGGGGCGGUCUCCUCCUAAAGAGUAACGGAGGAGCACGAAGGUUGGCUAAUCCUGGUCGGACAUCAGGAGGUUAGUGCAAUGGCAUAAGCCAGCUUGACUGCGAGCGUGACGGCGCGAGCAGGUGCGAAAGCAGGUCAUAGUGAUCCGGUGGUUCUGAAUGGAAGGGCCAUCGCUCAACGGAUAAAAGGUACUCCGGGGAUAACAGGCUGAUACCGCCCAAGAGUUCAUAUCGACGGCGGUGUUUGGCACCUCGAUGUCGGCUCAUCACAUCCUGGGGCUGAAGUAGGUCCCAAGGGUAUGGCUGUUCGCCAUUUAAAGUGGUACGCGAGCUGGGUUUAGAACGUCGUGAGACAGUUCGGUCCCUAUCUGCCGUGGGCGCUGGAGAACUGAGGGGGGCUGCUCCUAGUACGAGAGGACCGGAGUGGACGCAUCACUGGUGUUCGGGUUGUCAUGCCAAUGGCACUGCCCGGUAGCUAAAUGCGGAAGAGAUAAGUGCUGAAAGCAUCUAAGCACGAAACUUGCCCCGAGAUGAGUUCUCCCUGAGACUUAGAGUCUCCUGAAGGAACGUUGAAGACGACGACGUUGAUAGGCCGGGUGUGUAAGCGCAGCGAUGCGUUGAGCUAACCGGUACUAAUGAACCGUGAGGCUUAACCUU
rnacentral:rRNA from 1 species